rnacentral:rRNA from 1 species
AAAUUGAAGAGUUUGAUCAUGGCUCAGAUUGAACGCUGGCGGCAGGCCUAACACAUGCAAGUCGAACGGUAGCACAGAGAGCUUGCUCUUGGGUGACGAGUGGCGGACGGGUGAGUAAUGUCUGGGAAACUGCCCGAUGGAGGGGGAUAACUACUGGAAACGGUAGCUAAUACCGCAUAACGUCGCAAGACCAAAGUGGGGGACCUUCGGGCCUCACACCAUCGGAUGUGCCCAGAUGGGAUUAGCUAGUAGGUGGGGUAACGGCUCACCUAGGCGACGAUCCCUAGCUGGUCUGAGAGGAUGACCAGCCACACUGGAACUGAGACACGGUCCAGACUCCUACGGGAGGCAGCAGUGGGGAAUAUUGCACAAUGGGCGCAAGCCUGAUGCAGCCAUGCCGCGUGUAUGAAGAAGGCCUUCGGGUUGUAAAGUACUUUCAGCGAGGAGGAAGGCGUUGUGGUUAAUAACCUCAGCGAUUGACGUUACUCGCAGAAGAAGCACCGGCUAACUCCGUGCCAGCAGCCGCGGUAAUACGGAGGGUGCAAGCGUUAAUCGGAAUUACUGGGCGUAAAGCGCACGCAGGCGGUUUGUUAAGUCAGAUGUGAAAUCCCCGGGCUCAACCUGGGAACUGCAUUUGAAACUGGCAAGCUUGAGUCUCGUAGAGGGGGUAGAAUUCCAGGUGUAGCGGUGAAAUGCGUAGAGAUCUGGAGGAAUACCGGUGGCGAAGGCGGCCCCCUGGACGAAGACUGACGCUCAGGUGCGAAAGCGUGGGGAGCAAACAGGAUUAGAUACCCUGGUAGUCCACGCCGUAAACGAUGUCUAUUUGGAGGUUGUGCCCUUGAGGCGUGGCUUCCGGAGCUAACGCGUUAAAUAGACCGCCUGGGGAGUACGGCCGCAAGGUUAAAACUCAAAUGAAUUGACGGGGGCCCGCACAAGCGGUGGAGCAUGUGGUUUAAUUCGAUGCAACGCGAAGAACCUUACCUACUCUUGACAUCCAGAGAACUUAGCAGAGAUGCUUUGGUGCCUUCGGGAACUCUGAGACAGGUGCUGCAUGGCUGUCGUCAGCUCGUGUUGUGAAAUGUUGGGUUAAGUCCCGCAACGAGCGCAACCCUUAUCCUUUGUUGCCAGCGGUUCGGCCGGGAACUCAAAGGAGACUGCCAGUGAUAAACUGGAGGAAGGUGGGGAUGACGUCAAGUCAUCAUGGCCCUUACGAGUAGGGCUACACACGUGCUACAAUGGCAUAUACAAAGAGAAGCGACCUCGCGAGAGCAAGCGGACCUCAUAAAGUAUGUCGUAGUCCGGAUUGGAGUCUGCAACUCGACUCCAUGAAGUCGGAAUCGCUAGUAAUCGUAGAUCAGAAUGCUACGGUGAAUACGUUCCCGGGCCUUGUACACACCGCCCGUCACACCAUGGGAGUGGGUUGCAAAAGAAGUAGGUAGCUUAACCUUCGGGAGGGCGCUUACCACUUUGUGAUUCAUGACUGGGGUGAAGUCGUAACAAGGUAACCGUAGGGGAACCUGCGGUUGGAUCACCUCCUUA